rnacentral:lncRNA from 1 species
UCUCUCUUUCCAUUAUAGCACCAGGUUUGUCCGCAGGUCAUAUAGCACUGGUUUGUGCUUGUGCUCUGGCUGUGGCUGCAGUUUUGUGUGGUAUUUAUUAUUACUGCCAGCGCAAGAUGCGUAAACAGGCAGAUAAAGGCGAUGAACCUGACGGAGAGGAACUCAAGAGCCUAAAAGGUGGGAACACGUCUGUUCAGGAGGGAGAUUUAGAAACUAGUAAGUUGCAUUGGAUUUGUUCAUUUAUUGAU